CUAAUUUCUGUCAUUAAACCUUAAACUAUUUUAUGUCGACCAAGAAAGUAUCCACAAAAUCAGAAAAACGUGGCAGUGACAAAAGUCGCUCUUUUCGUGCCGGCUUAACAUUUCCAGUUGGUCGCCUUCAUCGACAACUAAAGCAAGGUCAAUAUGCACGUAGGAUAGGCAUUGGUGCUCCAGUAUAUCUUGCUGCGGUCUUAGAAUACAUGACAGCCGAAAUAUUAGAAUUGGCAGGAAAUGCUUCUCGUGACCACUCACGUGUUCGCAUUAUUCCCCGCCACAUCAUGCUUGCUAUUCACAACGAUGAGGAACUCAGUAAGCUUCUGGAUCAAGUUACUAUAUCGAACUCUGGCGUUGCCUCUCAUGUAAACCCCUUUUUAACGAAGGCUAUUAAAAAGGAAAAGGGCGUCGAAAUUACUGACUCUCAGAUUUACUAAAUAUUAAUGCAUCAUAAAACUACUUAUUGAGUAAACUAUUCUUGGUGUAGCAAGCAUAUAGGCUAGCCAAAGCAGUUAUUGCUUCACUUUUUUUAUUAAAUAGCCGUUAGACAUUUAACCGA